rnacentral:lncRNA from 1 species
AUGAAAACAUCACUGCCAUUUUGUACAUGUCUAAGACACACAAUUUACCUUGUUUUAUUUUUUUUUCUUUUUCUGUCUUUCUUUUUUUGUUUUUACAGAUUUUUGCUCUGUCACCAAGGCUGGAGUGCGGUGGUGCAAUCACAGCUCACGGCAACUUUGAACUCCUGGGCUCAGGUCAUGCUCCCUUCAACUCUGCCUUCCUCUCGUCCUGCACCAGUGGUUUUGGUGGACUGUGCUCCCCUGCUUGUUCUUCCCACGGAUAGAGCCCAUCAGCCUACGGGUUUGUCUGUUUCUUGCAGCGCUGCAUGGAUGCAGUCAUUCCUCUGUAUCUCCUCUUCCCCGAUCCUCUCUAUGGCAACCUCUCCAGUUGUCCCACUUAGACAGUGCCUAUCUUGUUGAGUUUGAUGUAGGGGCUGUUCAAAUCUUCAUCACUAGCCUGCCUCCACACAAAAGGCUCUCCUGCAACUCAUUCACAGAUUUCCUCCUGGGAUAAGCUCUGGACCCAGUAGCUACAAAUUCAGGACACUGUUUCCUAAAUGGCAGCAAGGCCUCUUGGCCAUGCUGGCCUGCCCUUACUGGGGCAAGAGGGGAUUUCAGGCCAUGAUGCAAAAAGAAACUGAAACCUAGUCAUGGGUGCUGCUUGGAAAUAUCCCUAGAGGCAGUGCUGCCUCUCAACACUGAUUGCCUCACUCACUGCUGACUGCCUGCCUACCCACCCUUAGCUCUGAAAACUCAUCUCGACCCUGAGACAGUGGGAAGGUGUGAGUGCUUGCCUCUGCCUGUUCCAUGAUCCCAGUCAUGGCUCUGUGGUGGUUCUUUCCCAGCCCCAUCAGCCUUGGUUGUAAGGGAAGACAGUGUGGCUCUGCCAGGUAGCAGGUGCUGCAGUAAGGAACGGGAUAAAAUUUGGUUUUAUAGGGCAGCAAAUACACAGCAAGCCCUCGGGGAAAAGUCACAGCCUCAGUUCCCAAACCAGGUCGGUUCAGAAGCUUUGUGCUCUGGAUUUAUACUGUCUGUACUGAGCCAAUUUAAACAAUUUCUAUCAACAGGACCCAUAUGAUAAAUUGCAUAUAACUCAUCCUGUAAGAGAGAGAAUAGGCUUGGAUUGAAUUUGACCUUUUAGGGGUGGAGGGUCAUCCAAGGAGCCUCAGAGUGUUCUCUCAUAGCCAUUAAAACCAACAACUAGGCAAAAAAGGACCAGCCUGUAUGUAAGCAACAGCACUUGUGCCUUGGAAACAGGAUGGAGGCAGGCAGGUAGUCCCAUAACAAAGGUCUGGCUGUGGGGUGCUUGAGGGUGGCUCUGUGGAUCUGAGCCUUACCAGCAGGCUGGAUUUGAGGGAGUGAAGUAACCUCACCAAAUGUCACAAUAAUAAUAACAAUAACAAUAAUAACAGUAUCUAUUAAUAAUAGUAUCUGUGUGGUUUUGAGUAUUAAAAGAGAUAAAAUAAUACUUAAUAUUUAUUAUGUACUUAAUAUGUGCCACAUACUAUUCUAACUGUUCAUGAUGUGGUUCCCAGAAUAUAGUAAGUAUUCAAUAAUUGCUGAAUGUCUUUUUUAAAUAAUGACAGUCAUAAAAACACUUUUAAAGCACACCUCACGUAUCAAAGCUCUGUUCUAAAUACUUUAGAUAUCGACACACUUAAUCUUUGUAACAGCUCUGUGAAGCAGGUACUACACCAUCAUCCCCAUUUUACAGAUGAAGAGACCAAGGUGCAGAGAGGCUAAGUAAAGGAUUGCCCAAGGUGAAGAGCUAGUAAGAGGUGGACCUGGAAUCUGAGCCUCCGAGGUUCCCGUAAAGGCCGGUUCUUAACUACUGGAUGUCCUCCAAUCAAUAUUGACUGAGUUCCUUCUAAAUGCCAGGCACUAUUCCGAGGGCUUGGAAUACAUUAGAGCUCCACACAGACAAAAAUCUCUUCUUCGCCUCCUCGAGAGGGAGACAGACAAUAAACAAGUCAAAUCAGUAAAAUAUCUACCGAGUUAGAAAGUGGUCAGCGCUAAGGAAUACGAACAGAGCAGGAGAGGGCAAUGAGAUGUUGUUUCAACCUGGGGAAACUUUGGAAAGUCGGAUCAGGAAAAGCCUCGCUGAGGAAGUGGUGUGUAUCAGGACCUAAGGAAGUGAGAGAGCUAGCCCUGCAGCCGAGGGUAACAGCAUCCCAGGCAGAGGCAGCCCAUGCAAAGACCCCGGGACCUAGGUUGUCGGAAUUAAUUACAUUGAUUGGAUCCACACACCCUCCUCAUCUCAAAUAUCUGAGCUUAGUAAACAUCUCAGCACCAGAGUGGAAGGCACAAAGGUUUGGAAGUAGACUUUGAAAUGUCCCUUCUUGCUUACAAAUCCAGCUGGUAACCUCUGCAAGUUAAUACAACCCAUUCCUUCCAUGAGCACCCGUGCAGGUUUCAGGACCAAGUUUGCAUCUUCCGCUUGCAGAUGGAGAGUGUGAGAGAGGGUCUAAAGCUGAAGACAACCUUACUUAAAACCACUUUGAUCCAAGGAUUGUAGUCAUUUAGUGCGUAUUGAUUUUUCUUUCCUAUUUUUAGGAAGGUGGGAGCAUGUUAAUUAAACAUUUUUGAGUAGAACUGGUUUCCAGGGAGGAUGGCCCCAGAGAGCAGAAUCUUUUAUUUACCUUCCACUAGAGGCCCUAACGAAUGCAAGAGCCAGUGGACCUGCAUGUUCCACACCUCCUGGCCACCCAGGCUCUGCAUCAGGGUGGAGGCUCUCUGAGCCCCAUGUGGUCUGUGCCUCGUCUUCUAUCCUUGCCUCCUGUGAGGAGAGGCAUCAAGAGGAUGGACAAAGAGAAAAUGUUUUUAAACAAGAGAUGAGGACAGCCCUGCCUUGUCUAUUGGAACACGGCUCCAGGAAAUGUGAGUCUGUCAAGACCAGACCCCCCUAGAACCUCAGCUAACCCCACAUGCUCAACUGAGGGUACCUGGCAGAUGGUCACAGUUGGCCCUGCCACCAGCUUCUGGAAACACACAAGGGCUGAAUGCCAGGGCACUGCUGGCUGGACCAUCCCAUCCCAAAUGUUCUCCGCAGCACAGCCCAAGAAGUUGCCUUCGCAGGGGGACUCCCCAGGGCUCCCGGGCUGGAUGAGGCCCUUGAGUGCUUUAUCACAGAAACAAACACACAACACACCACCUUACAUUUCUCUCUCCAUAGAUUUCUUUCCUUUCCAAUCUUAUAUGUAUUUCUUAUUCUGUUAAGGGUCCAACAGUAUUUUAUUGUACUUUUAACGAUAACAGUAACAUUCAGCCCAACACUAUCUUCCUUUGCCUAAUGGAUUAUUUUCAAACUCUGAAAGGCGUAUAUUAUCAUCCCCAUUUUCCAGAUAAGAAGGCAGGCUUAUACAUGUUACAUACCCCACUUAAAAUCAAAAGUUAGUAACUGGCAGAGCUGAAGUUUGACCCAGAUCUGAAGACUCUGCAGCACACACUUUCAGUGUGGUAUUAACUUUCCUGUGUCAGCUAUUGAAGAUCUGAAAAUGUGUAUAAAUGCACAUCUAUACACAUUAAUACAAAUAAUAUGCAUGCAUACUGUAGGAAAAACAAAUACUUUUUCAUGUUACCACGUUACAAAACAGAUUGACAAGAGGAAAGCACACGUAUGUAUUUAACACAAAUUUUGUAAAACGUGAGAGCCUUCAGAAAUAAACACCUCCCAACACAAGGGAAUGCAUGCAUUUCUCUACUGAGGUCUGACGAAGAGUGGACAGCCGUGGGGAAGUGUGACUGGACAUAAGGGUUGGCUCUAAUGGCAAUGAACUGGGGAUGGAGUUAACAAGGCCCUGUUUGUUCAGAUUCUGCUCGGUGUUCAGGUGUCUUCAGAGAUAACGGUGCUCCUUCCCUCCAGGUAGGGUAAGGGCAUCUGGAACGAGGGUCUCAUGACCUGCUUCAGGGGAAAAUGAUGUGGGGGAAGUGAGAGCAAUCUUCCUGCUUCUGCUGUUUUCUCAAAUGCCAAGGUGCUAUGUUUUGGAAUAGCAUGUCCUUAAUCAUAUUAAUGCUUACACACACGUGUUUGCAUGUGUGCACAUGCACGCACGCACACACACAGAGUAUGUUCGGCUAUAGGAAUGGUUGGAAAGAAUUAAGAGUGCUAUACACUGGGCAAUGUUGCAUGGAGCAGGGUAUAGAAGGUGAAUAUGAGGCAUGAAAUGUAGUUAUUGUGGGUGGGGAACGUUAAUACCUCGAGCUCCAAGUGUCUCCCAAGGACCCUAGCAAGAGGGGGCAGGGCUGAGCAUCUGUUUGCUGUGGGACUUUCUGUACAUGUGGGCUGACAAUAAAGCUGUUUGCACAGUGUAAGCUCACAUUAGAAGAUGCAGACCACUGGCUGUCUCUCCGAGUGUCUGUGUGGUGUUUGCACACAGAUAAGUACCAGGAGCCUAAGCGUGUCUGUCCUGGAGGUGAGCAGAAGGACAGAGGCUGUGGGAACAGAAACAUCCCACUCUGUGCCUGCCAGGCAGCGGACCUGGGCUUUGAGCAUGUUCAUCUGAGCUGGACUAGAUGUCUUUGCCUCGUCCAUGACAGGAAAACAAGCUGGCUGUUGGAUAGAGCACCCACGGGUGGAGGUUUUGUUUUAAAAGGUAAACAAAUGGUUCACUGCUCUUGUCCUUUCUCCCUGGUGUUUCUCAUGCCUGGACAGACCACCCCAUCAAUGUAAACUCUUCCAUUCCCUCAGAAUGUUGCUGAAAACCUCUUCGCUCAUCCACCUGGGAUGCACUGCCUGCUGAUAUGGCAUGGGGUGGGGGUGUCUCUACAUUUGUUUCUCUGUUCAUCAUAAUAUUCAGUGGACUCCUGCUUUCAUAGGCAUGUGGUCCUGUGGAAUCCUCCAUGAACAC